ACUUUGAUGUCAUCGGCUAGACAUUUGAUUUUCGUUCCAAGUUAUAUGUACUAAGGCGUUGUAUCGACGUCCUUUGUCUAUUUGAGACCUCGAUGUACUCACACUAGCAAUAAUGAAUGCCUUGAGAAUUUUUUCGAAGUGAAACUAUUCUCCUCUUAUGGUUCAUAUUGAUUUACAAUCAAGAUGUACACUUACAUCGUCCUUAGAAACAUGGCAUAUUGUGCCGAUUUUGGUCCCUUCCUUUGAAGGUGACUCUUGGCACUGCAUCCUCAAGGAGGAUCGCCCAAGUGUUUCCGGUUAAGUCUUCUACCCUAUAGCGGAUUUUUCAUCAUCAAUUGUUCAACUAGGCUCAUCCAAGCUCAGUGUGAUGUCUUAGAAUUGUCCGAAAUUAAGGAGAUAGUGGUUUUAAGUGUGCCUCGCACUACCGACCCUCCACGGACAUGCCUGGUCAUACUGACUUGGAGUUACCGAAAGCUUUUGAUUUUGGAUCCCCCUACGCUAUUAAACCAAUUGCCGUCUUGCAAAAGAUGUUAAAGACUUAUCAAAGCUGGAAAAUUAUCAUCAUGAUCGGAUCCUCUAGGUCCUCUGAGUUAGUUUAUGUUCAUGUCAAGGAGCUUUUGCUAACUAGUCAUGGAGUUUACGACCUUAGAACGACCGAAAGGACUUGGUUUUGAUCAUACACACGUCACUUUUGGCUAAGGCAAAAGCCUACACGCCACCUGCAAGCUUCACAGCUUCGCACAUGCCAAAUCUGCGAAAAACAGCAAUCUGUCCUUUCUGGACAGUCAACUUCGUUUGAGCUUUUUGAACAGCUCCGGACGAACCAGACAGUCAGCUUUAUAUCAUUCGAAAGCUCUACGAGUCUAGUUUUCAGAACUUUUCACGGUUCGUCCAUAUCUAUUUUAACGAAGAAGUUAUGGCUGUUUUAGUGCGCAAAGGUCAUUCUGCGCGGAAAUUUUUAUGCACUCUCGGGAUUGCAGCUUUUCGUAGCUUCUUUCAAUCCUUCUAAAUGGUUCAAGUAGAACUAUUUACUCGCCUAUCUACUCCUUGUAAUUAUGUCUCAUAGAGACAUUGAGUGCUUCGCAGAUAGUGGAACUAUCCACAACAUUCUAAGGAACCAUGUUAA
rnacentral:lncRNA from 1 species